rnacentral:rRNA from 2 species
GACGUAGGGGGCGAGCGUUGUCCGGAUUCAUUGGGCGUAAAGAGCGCGUAGGCGGCUUGGUAAGUCGGGUGUGAAAUCCCGGGGCUCAACCCCGUGACUGCACCCGAUACUGCCCGGCUAGAGGUAGGUAGGGGAGAUCGGAAUUCCUGGUGUAGCGGUGAAAUGCGCAGAUAUCAGGAGGAACACCGGUGGCGAAGGCGGAUCUCUGGGCCUUACCUGACGCUGAGGCGCGAAAGCUAGGGGAGCGAACAGG